rnacentral:rRNA from 1 species
CAACGCGCAGACCUUACCUACCCUUGACAUGUCCAGUAUGGUUUCCAGAGAUGGAUUCCUUCAGUUCGGCUGGCUGGAACACAGGUGCUGCAUGGCUGUCGUCAGCUCGUGUCGUGAGAUGUUGGGUUAAGUCCCGCAACGAGCGCAACCCUUGUCAUUAGUUGCUACAUUCAGUUGGGCACUCUAAUGAGACUGCCGGUGACAAACCGGAGGAAGGUGGGGAUGACGUCAAGUCCUCAUGGCCCUUAUAGGUGGGGCUACACACGUCAUACAAUGGAUGGUACAAAGGGUCGCCAACCCGCGAGGGGGAGCCAAUCCCAUAAAGCCAUUCGUAGUCCGGAUCGCAGUCUGCAACUCGACUGCGUGAAGUCGGAAUCGCUAGUAAUCGUGGAUCAGAAUGUCACGGUGAAUACGUUCCCGGGUCUU